GCUUAACGCGAAGAACCUUACCAAGGCUUGACAUACACCAGAACACCCUAGAAAUAGGGGACGUCUUUGGUACACUGGUGAACAGGUGGUGCAUGGUUGUCGUCAGCUCGUGUCGUGAGAUGUUGGGUUAAGUCCCGCAACGAGCGCAACCCUCGUUCUAUGUUGCCAGCACGUAAUGGUGGGAACUCAUGGGAUACUGCCGGGGUCGAACUCGGAGGAAGGUGGGGAUGGACGUCAAAUCAUCAUGCCCCUUAUGUCUUGGGCUUCACGCAUGCUACAAUGGCCGGUACAAAGGGCUGCAAUACCGUGAGGUGGAGCGAAUCCCAAAAAAGCCGGUACCCAGUUCGGAUUGAGGUCUGCAACUCGACCUCAUGAAGUCGGAGUCGCUAGUAAUCGCAGAUCAGCAACGCUGCGGUGAAUACGUUCCCGGGUCUUGUACACACCG
rnacentral:rRNA from 1 species